AUGGGCGUGAUGGGCAGGCUCAAGAUCUUCGUCGUCAAGGAGCCCGUCGUCGCCGCCUCCUGCCUCAUCGCCGGAUUCGCCACCACCACCCCCAACCCACCGGAGCAGACCAAGGCGGCGCCGCGGCGACCUCACCUCCGGCCAAGGGAAAUGACUACCGUUCCGGGGUCUCUGGUCUGGGAGCUGGUGAAGAAGAACAACUGCUUCUUGAUCAAGCAGUUCGGCAACAGCAACGCCAAGGUGCAGUUCAGCAAGGAGCCCAACAACCUCUACAAUGUCCACUCCUACAAGUUCUCCGGCUUGGCGAACAGCAAGACCGUGGCGGUCCAGCCCUCUGCAGGAGAGGACAAGGCUGUCGUCCUGUCCACGACCAAGACCAAGAAGCAGAACACCCCUGCCAAGCUCCAGCACAAGACUCUGAUGCGCAAGGAGUUCCGCAAGAUGGCCAAGUCCGUCAAGAACCAGGUCUGCGACAACUACUACAGGCCUGAUCUGACCAAGCCGGCCCUUGCAAGGCUGAGCGCCGUGUACCGCAGCCUCCAGGUUUCCAAGUCUGGAAUCAAGAAGAAGAACAGGCAGCCAACUAAGCUGUAA
rnacentral:rRNA from 1 species